AAGUCGUAACAAGGAUUCCGUAGGUGAACCUGCGGAAGGAUCAUUAACACGUAUCCAAACGUUAAAACCCCCCCCGUGAACCUUCAUCCUGCUCUUGUAACCCGCGUAGUUCGCAAUCUCUGAUAAAUCAUAGCCCGGAAAGUUGUAGUGAUUCAGAGACCUCUGGCUACGUGCGAACAUUGGAACAGUUACAAUCAGGAUAGCGCUUCUACGAUUCCUGUAGACCGUACACUCGGGCAGGAGCUUUGCCAAAGGGUCCCCAUAACCCCACAGUUUAAUGUGAAGCUCAAUGUAAUACAUUAGGUAAAAAAACCGAACAACUGUUAACAAUGAAUAUCUUGGUUCUC
rnacentral:misc_RNA from 1 species